rnacentral:rRNA from 1 species
UACGUAGGGACCGAGCGUUGUCCGGAAUCAUUGGGCGUAAAGAGCGUGUAGGCGGCCUUUUAAGUCCUGCGUGAAAUCCUGCGGCUCAACCGCAGACGGUCGUGGGAAACUGGAAGGCUAGAGUGCGGCAGAGGAAGGUGGAAUUCCACGUGUAGCGGUGAAAUGCGUAGAGAUGUGGAGGAACACCGAUGGCGAAGGCAGCCUUCGUGGGCCAACACUGACGCUCAUGCACGAAAGCGUGGGGAGC